rnacentral:hammerhead_ribozyme from 15 species
CGCGUGUCUCGUUCCACGCUAAAGCCACCUGAUGAGGCCCUGGCAAGGCCGAAACGCGUC